rnacentral:ncRNA from 1 species
AAAGUGGUACGGUCGUACCAAUUACGGGACGUGCGACGGCGGAGAACCCACCCGGCGCGUCCAC